rnacentral:ncRNA from 1 species
GUUAUCUAGAGUGGUGGAGGGACUGGCCCGAUGAAACCCGGCAACCGUCUCACCUGUGUCCUGUGGACACCGUGAGAAAGGUGCUAAUUCCUGCAGAGCGCUUUUUUAGUGCUUUGAAAGAUGAGA